CAUUUCGCCUCCAAACUUAUCAAACAUGCAUCAAACCUAUUCUACAACACUCAUACACAAGCAUACAUGUUCCUAGGGGUCUCAAACCAACAUAAACCCCAUCUACAACACAUCAAGCAUCCACAUUGUUCAAGAACACACAUUUAUACCCAUAAACAUAACCAUAACCUAAACAUGCAUUCUAACCCAUAGAUCUUGCAUAAAACUUAUUUAAAACAUAAAAC
rnacentral:lncRNA from 1 species